rnacentral:rRNA from 1 species
CCUACGGCGGCUGCAGUGGGGAAUAUUGGACAAUGGGCGAAAGCCUGAUCCAGCCAUGCCGCGUGUGUGAAGAAGGCCUUCGGGUUGUAAAGCACUUUCAGUGGGGAAGAAAGCCUUGGGGCUAAUACCCUCGAGGAAGGACAUCACCCACAGAAGAAGCACCGGCUAACUCCGUGCCAGCAGCCGCGGUAAUACGGAAGGUGCGAGCGUUAAUCGGAAUUACUGGGCGUAAAGCGCGCGUAGGCGGUCUGAUAAGCCGGUUGUGAAAGCCCCGGGCUCAACCUGGGAACGGCAUCCGGAACUGUCAGGCUAGAGUGCAGGAGAGGAAGGUAGAAUUCCCGGUGUAGCGGUGAAAUGCGUAGAGAUCGGGAGGAAUACCAGUGGCGAAGGCGGCCUUCUGGACUGACACUGACGCUGAGGUGCGAAAGCGUGGGUAGCAAACAGGAUUAGAUACCCUGGUAGUC